rnacentral:lncRNA from 1 species
UUUUGAGGAAGGUUUCUUUGCCCUAGCUGAGCUUGUCUUAGAGGUUGAAUGGAAAUGGCAGUUGCUGAGUUUAGGUAGCGUAUGCUGAGGGGAUAAAUACUAUUUUCAAAGUUUGGAAAUGAUUUAGCAUUAAUGUGGCUCUUUCUUUUAAAAGGGCAAACAUUAAUUUUAUUUCUUUUAUUUUUUUCUUUCAAUUUCCAAAUCCCUAAUUUCC